CCUACGGGGUGCAGCAGUCGAGAAUCAUUCACAAUGGGGGAAACCCUGAUGGUGCGACGCCGCGUGGGGGAAUGAAGGUCUUCGGAUUGUAAACCCCUGUCAUGUGGGAGCAAAUUAAAAAGAUAGUACCACAAGAGGAAGAGACGGCUAACUCUGUGCCAGCAGCCGCGGUAAUACAGAGGUCUCAAGCGUUGUUCGGAAUCACUGGGCGUAAGGCGUGCGUAGGCUGUUUCGUAAGUCGUGUGUGAAAGGCGCGGGCUCAACCCGCGGAUGGCACAUGAUACUGCGAGACUAGAGUAAUGGAGGGGGAACCGGAAUUCUCGGUGUAGCAGUGAAAUGCGUAGAUAUCGAGAGGAACACUCGUGGCGAAGGCGGGUUCCUGGACAUUAACUGACGCUGAGGCACGAAGGCCAGGGGAGCGAAAGGGAUUAGAUACCCUGGUAGUC
rnacentral:rRNA from 1 species